rnacentral:ncRNA from 1 species
UAAAAAUAUAGCGCCAGGACAAUAUUUAGCAUAUUAGUAAAAUAUUGUUGACGAGGAUUAGAACCUAUCGAAAAAUUCGGCGGAUGGUUCUAUGGCAAGAAGGUUGUCAUUAUAUAUUACACAAAAACUAAUAGUAAUAUUAGAACAAAAGUAAUAU